AACGAACGCUGGCGGCAUGCCUAACACAUGCCAGUCGAACGAGACCUUCGGGUCUAGUGGCGCACGGGUGCGUAACGCGUGGGAACCUGCCCUUAGGUUCGGAAUAACUCCCCGAAAGGGGUGCUAAUACCGGAUAAUGUCUUCGGACCAAAGAUUUAUCGCCUUUGGAUGGGCCCGCGUUGGAUUAGCUAGUUGGUAGGGUAAAAGCCUACCAAGGCGACGAUCCAUAGCUGGUCUGAGAGGAUGAUCAGCCACACUGGGACUAAGACACGGCCCAGACUCCUACGGGAGGCAGCAGUGGGGAAUAUUGGACAAUGGGCGAAAGCCUGAUCCAGCAAUGCCGCGUGAGUGAUGAAGGCCUUAGGGUUGUAAAGCUCUUUUACCCGGGAUGAUAAUGACAGUACCGGGAGAAUAAGCUCCGGCAAACUCCGU
rnacentral:rRNA from 1 species